rnacentral:rRNA from 1 species
GUUUACAGCCAUACUACCCUGAACACGCCCAAUCCUUCUGAUCUCAGAAGCUAAGCAAGGUCGGGCCUGGUUAGUACUUGGAUGGGAGACCACCUAGGAAGACCAGGUGCUGUAGGCA